rnacentral:lncRNA from 1 species
GGGUGAGUGUGAGAUAAUAUGAGAAUGAGAAACUCCUUGGGGCUGUAGACUUAGGGAGAAACCCUAAGAAACUUUCAUAAAUUUAAAUUCCAAAAACCCCAACAGAUUUUCGCAGUGAAGAACAUAGAAAAAAAAAAUCCCUUGUUUUUCUGAUGGGGAGAAGAAGUAACCAUUUUGAAAUAGGCCCAGAGUAUUCCAAAUAACACAGAUAAGCCUACUUUCCAGGGUAACAGAUGUUACCAGAGCCUUAUCCCACUUGACAGAUGGUACUUCCUUCAUCACCUUCUAACUUUUCUAUCUCCCUACUGGAGAAUGGGAGGGAAACUAAGAAAUACUUGUGAAAGUCAUAAACUAGGGACACAGGCCCACUAAAAGAAUAAUAUUUAAUUAUAAAAUUAUUUCUCUCCUCCAUAUCAUAUCAAUAGGAGUCCAAGAGAUAACAGAGGAUCAUAGCUCAAAGAGCUGCAAGGAGCCCAAUACCCUUUGAGAAGCAGUACGAAGAGACGGGGUUUCACCGUUUUAGCCAGGAUGGUCUCGAUUUCCUGACCUCGUGACCCGCCCGCCUCGGCCUCCCAAAGUGCUGGGAUUACAGGCAUGAGCCACCGCGCCCGGCCUACUGCACUGUUUUACGUGCUACAGAUGUAUCAAGCAAUUUAACCCCAAUUCCUACUGUGCUUAAAAUAAAUAAGACGUGCCUAUAGGUAAGUACAAUGUAUAAUGUAAUGUGACAGGAAUGAAGAAAGAUAUGCAAAAUGCAAUGAAAAUUCAGAAGGAGGAAAAAGUACAGUUGGAGAGAUCAGGAUAGUCCUGGUUGAGGAAGCAGCAUUUACGGCACACAGGAAAUAAUAGAAUUCUGACAUGCCAAGCAAGGUAAGGAAAAGGAGGGCAUUUCUAGCAAAAGAAAUGCCUUGGAUAUGGUAGAAGGACACUACCUAAGAUUGGAGGGCAGUGAAAAGGUCUGGAAUUCUAGAUUAAGAUAUGUGGGAUGAAGAAAGAUGGAGUAGAGAGGCAGAGAAAGAAUUGGGAAAGAAAAGGAGUAGACAUUAAUGAGACCCUACUCUCAUCAGGUACUGUGAUUUAAGCUUUACUUACAUCAUUUUAGUGCUACAAUGUUUCCAUGUUAAAUAUUCUAAGUCCAAGACACAUGGCCCACCCAGUUACUUAAUGGUAGAAAUGGUGACAUAGCUAACAAACGGUGGUGACGAGACUAAAACUGAAUGUUUGUGCCCAUCCUAUUGCCUUAAAUUGUGCUAUGCUACCUUCAAAUGCCAUAUAUUUUCUUAAUUACAUGAAGCCUAAAUAAACCUACAAACCUUCUUUCUCAAGCUUUUCCCUCUUAAUCUGAAUCCACCAAUGCUCAGAAAUCUCUGGACAUCUUUUGGUUUUCACCAUCAUGAUGUAUGCAUUUAUGUAUACACCUCAACCGUCUCUCCCCAUCCCACUUCCUAUAAUGUGGUAAGUUUCUUGACAGCCAAGACAGUAUCUUCAUCAUCUCUGCAGCUUCAAUGCCUGGAACAGAGUAAGUGCUUCAAAAUAUUCAUCAGUUAGACAAAACUGAAUCCAAGCAGGAUUACUGAGACUAGAAUUUCCAUCUUUUCAAAAAUUGUUGUCAAUCUGCCUUUCUUUCAAAGUAUUUGUAAAAAUUGAGGAAAUGCCUUUAUUCCCUUCUUGGCUCCAUGAAUGUUUCUACUGGGUCCUGGUUUAGUAGAGGCCCUCAAUUAUAAAGAAAACUUGCUGAUAGCAUGUUGCAUAUGGGAGUGAGGGUGUUAAGUUUGCUUUAAUGUUGUGCUUAAAAUUGGAUUGAUUUUUGUACUAAUAGUGUAAUUUCCAGGUAUUUGUUUUAAUAACAAACGGUACUUGAAAUGACUGCUAUUCAGCAGUAAGUUUAUAGCUAAUUAGAGGAGCUUCUCACUGAUGCACGUUAAUGAGUGGGAGAGCUAUUACUGAUCAGAGUGUGAAAGUUUCAAGGAUACCAUCAUAAAAUGUAGUUUGCUUAGUUCUGUAAAUAUAUGUUGUUUACUUUAUUUACAACGGCACAUAGAUUACUCAAGUGCAUAAUACGCUGGUAUAUUAGGUGAAAUAAAAUCUCACUAACGUGAGCUCACCAAAGUGCUCUGUUAUUAAACUUUUAUUAAGGACUGAGAUAAAACAAUUCUCUUUGGAGUAGGAAUUAGAGUGCCUGCUGAUAAUCACUGAAGUGAAGGAGGAAGAGACAAUAAGAGAGACAGCCACGUUCUCAAGGAAACGCCAUUGUGCUCUGACCUUGCCCUUACCAUUCCCAGGGGACUUCAGGUCACUUCACAUAAAUGGAUAACAGAGCAGCUAAAUGUCCUGGAGUGAGUGCCCCAGUGUGUGAAGAUACAAAGGCCACUCCUGGGAUGGGUAUCUCAAUGUAGGGUUUGUUGUUAGGACAGAAAGCAGCCUCAGAGCCAGAGUGCCAACUAUAGCCUUCCACAAUGUGAUGUGAGAUUAAAAGAAAGACACAUAGUCCCCAGCUUCCGAGGGGCUGGCAGUGAGGUAGACAGACAGUGAACAAUGGCGAAGGCAGGCAUGCUGAGGAGGAGCUCAAACUGGACUGUCUACUUAGAGGGGAGCUGAAACCUGGGAAGGUGAAAGGAAAGAGAUUAUUUUUUAAUAACCAAAAUACAUAGCCAUGGCAUUAGCCAAAACAAAGAGAGGAAAUUCCAAUGAAGUAAUUGUUUUCACUCCAGUGGUUCAUUUUCUUUUUGACUGGGAGUGAUCUGGCUGAAUCAAUUAGGUGUUUCAGCUUUGAGCAAACAUGAAGAUAUGUUCAAAUUUCUUAAUCAAAUAUCCAAAGCCAGGUGCGGUGGCUCACACCUGUAAUCCCAGCACUUCGGGAGGCCAAGGUGGGCGGAUCACCUGAGGUCAGGAGUUAGAGACUAGCCUGGCCAGCAUGGUGAAACCCCGUCUCUACUAAAAGUACAAAAAUUAGCUGGGCGUGGUGGCCGGCGCCUGUAAUCCCCAUCUACUCAGGAGGCUGAGGCAUGAAAAUAGCUUGAACUCUGGAGGCGGAGGUUGCAGUGAGCCGAGAUCGUGCCACUGUACUCCAGCCUGGGCGACAAGAGCGAGACUCCAUCUCAAAAAAAUAAAAAUAAAAAUAAAAUAAAAUAUCCAAAUGAAAACUUUCACACAAGUAGAAAGUUUAUUUUUUAUGACAUCUUCGUAUUUAUUUCUUACAUAUCAUAUGUGAAAAGCAGCUCCUUUGCUGAAAAUCUAGUCCAUCCAAGAAUGCAUCAUCAUCUCUGACCAAAAACAAUGGCUGGUGGUAAGGCCGUACUGAGAAAAAAGAAAAAAAUGUUGAAGCUGAAUAACCCUGAGCUUAAGAUUUGAUUUUGUCAUCUACUGGCUGUGUGAUCCUCAGCAAGUUACCAAGGCUCUCUGACCUGUAGAUACCUCAUAUAUUUAUUUAGGGUAGUAAUGUGGACAGCUAGAUGUUGUUAGGAGGAUUGAGAUAGCACACUUCAAGAAGAGUAUCUUGUACAGAAAAAUACACUCAAAUAAAUAAUAUCUAUUGAUAUUAUCAUUAUCAAGUCAUUAAGUUGUAUUUUUAAAUCAAAUGAACUAAAAUAUAGAAAUAGAUCUAUUACAAAAGAGAAUUAAAAUUUCACACUUAAUACAUGAACAGUCAAUGAAAAAUAGGAUGCACUUGGGUAAACAAUUAAUACUGUUAUACCAUAUAAUUUUGUACCAAUAAUUUGGAAAGACAGUUAAAAUAGUAAUUAAAUUAGUUUUUAUUUAGAUUGCCUUUUGUUUGUUCAGUUAUCAAAAGCUUUAAAAGACUCUGAGUGUUUUCAGAAUGACAUCAGCUAAUAGUCCAGUUAGAAAUUUCGGUAUUCCCUUUCCCUGCUCCCCAAGCUCACUGACCUCAGGUGUUCAUGCAUCUAUUCAGUAAAUAAUUAUUGAGCACUGUUCUUGCUACAAAUAUAAAACUGGGCUUCAUGAAGUUUAUUGAUUGGUGGAGAGAAAGAUAAAAAAGUAACAGUUAACUAUGUAGUUACAAAUAUUGGGAAGUGUUUUGAAAGAAAGUGUGAGAAGUGGGCUUAGUGAAGAAAAAGCCAAUCCCAGAGUGAAUAAUAAGCAGAGUGGCUGAAAAUGAAAUCAAAAUUGUAAAAAUAUUCAAUUAAGUCAGCACUUUAUAGGCCAAAGCAAUUAUUUUUAAUAUGUUUUAUUUUUAAUUAUUAUGGUAUAUAAUAUUUGUAUAUAUUUAUUGGAUACAUGUGAUGUUUUGAUACUGUCAUAUAAUGUGUAAUGAUCAAAUCAGGGUAACUGAACUAUGCAACCCCUCCAGCAUUUAUCAUUUCUUUGUGUUCAGAAUAUUCCAAUUCUACACUUUAAUUAUUUAAAAAUAAACAAUAAAUUAUUGUUUACUAUAAUCACUGUAUUGUGCUACUGAAUAAUAGACUUUAUUCAUUCUAACUCUCAUUUGUACCAAUUAACCUUCCCCACUUUAUCCUCCACUCAUUGCUACCCUUUCAGCCUCUGGUAUCCAUCAUUCUGCUAUCUUCAUUAAUUCAUAUAUAUUUUUUUUUUUAGCUCCCACGUAUUAGUGAUAACAUGGGAGAACAGAAAACAUUGUCUUUCUGUGGCUGGAUAAUUUUACUUAACACAAUGAACCCCAGUUCCAUCCAUGUGGCUGCAAAUGACAGGAUUUUAUUCUUUUUACAGCUGAAUAAUAUUCUACUGUGUAUAUGUACCAUACUUUAU